rnacentral:rRNA from 1 species
GACGAACCGUGCGAACGUUGUUCGGAAUCACUGGGCUUAAAGGGCGCGUAGGUGGUUUGCCAAGUCGGGGUUGAAAUCUUUCGGCUUAACCGGAAAAGUGGCUUCGAUACUGGCAAGCUGGAGGGAGGUAGGGGCGGAUGGAACUUCCGGUGGAGCGGUGAAAUGUGUUGAUAUCGGAAGGAACGCCGGUGGCGAAAGCGAUCCGCUGGACCUCUUCUGACACUGAGGCGCGAAAGCCAGGGAG